AACGCACAUUGCGCCCUUUGGUAUUCCAAAGGGCAUGCCUGUUCGAGCGUCAUUUGUACCCUCAAGCUUUGCUUGGUGUUGGGCGUCUUUUGUCUUUGGCCUCGCCCAAAGACUCGCCUUAAAACGAUUGGCAGCCGGCCUACUGGUUUCGCAGCGCAGCACAUUUUGCGCUUGCAAUCAGCACAAGGACGGCAAUCCAUCAAGACUACAUUUUUACGUUUGACCUCGGAUCAGGUAGGGAUACCCGCUGAACUUAA
rnacentral:misc_RNA from 1 species